UACCAGCUCUUCGAGUGGUGUGGAUGUUUAUUGGGCCUAAAGCAUCCGUAGCUGGCUGGGCAAGUCCCCUGUUAAAUCCACCGAUUCAAUCGUUGGAGUGCGGGGGAUACUGCUCGGCUAGGGGACGGGAGAGGCAGACGGUAUUUUCGGGGUAGGGGUGAAAUCCUAUAAUCCCGGGAAGACCACCAGUGGCGAAGGCUGUCUGCUAGAACGUGCCCGACGGUGAGGGAUGAAAGCUGGGGGAGCGAACCGGAUUAGAUACCCGGGUAGUCCCAGCUGUAAACGAUGCAGGCUAGGUGUUUGGACGGCCACGUGCCGUUCUAGUGCCGCAGGGAAGCCGUUAAGCCUGCCGCCUGGGGAGUACGGCCGCAAGGCUGAAACUUAAGGAAUUGGCGGGGAGCACCACAAGGGUGAGCUUGCGGUUU
rnacentral:rRNA from 1 species